AGAAAGUUGUGUCUGACAUAAUUGAAAAAUAAAAAGAGUAAGUUGCUUAAGUAGUAUUGAAUCCAUUCUCUAUCAUCCAUGAUUGAGAAGGAAUCUACUUGCUAGUUUACUACAAUCCAAACAUAUGAUAUAUAAUAAUAACAAAUUACAGAGAAAUGAAGAUGACCUGAGUCCUAACCAUGGUUGACAAUCUACUUGAAGAAGUACCCAAGAGACCCCAAAAAAUCUCCCAAGGGUAACCAACUUCACAUGCAUUGGAACUCCAUCACCAUUUAAUAGAGUGGAUUUCCUUAUGAUAGAAAACAUUUACCAAACAAAAUCAAUAGUA
rnacentral:misc_RNA from 1 species